AACGAACGCUGGCGGCAUGCCUAACACAUGCAAGUCGAACGAGACCUUCGGGUCUAGUGGCGCACGGGUGCGUAACGCGUGGGAAUCUGCCCUUGGGUUCGGAAUCACAGUUGGAAACGACUGCUAAUACCGGAUGAUGACGUACGUCCAAAGAUUUAUCGCCCAGGGAUGAGCCCGCGUAGGAUUCGCUAGUUGGUGGGGUAAAGGCCUACCAAGGCGACGAUCCUUAGCUGGUCUGAGAGGAUGAUCAGCCACACUGGGACUGAGACACGGCCCAGACUCCUACGGGAGGGAGCAGUGGGGAAUAUUGGACGAUGGGCGAAAGCCUGAUCCAGCAAUGCCGCGUGAGUGAUGAAGGCCUUAGGGUUGUAAAGCUCUUUUAGCCGGGAUGAUAAUGACAGUACCGGGAGAAUAAGCCCCGGCUAACUCCGUG
rnacentral:rRNA from 1 species